rnacentral:rRNA from 1 species
GAAUUUUGGACAAUGGGCGAAAGCCUGAUCCAGCAAUGCCGCGUGCAGGAUGAAGGCCUUCGGGUUGUAAACUGCUUUUGUACGGAACGAAAAGCUUUGGGUUAAUACCCCGGAGCCAUGACGGUACCGUAAGAAUAAGAACCGGAUAACUACGUUCCAGCAGCAGCGGGAAUACGUAGGGUGCAAGCGUUAACCGGAAUUACUGGGCUUAAAGCGUUCGCAGGCGGUUUUGUAAGACAGAGGUGAAAUACCCGGGCUCAACCUGGGAACUGCCUUUGUGACUGCAAGGCUAGAGUACGGCAGAGGGGGGUGGAAUUCCGCGUGUAGCAGUGAAAUGCGUAGAUAUGCGGAGGAACACCGAUGGCGAAGGCAACCCCCUGGGCCUGUACUGACGCUCAUGCACGAAAGCGUGGGGAGCAAACA